AUUGAACGCUGGCGGCAUGCCUUACACAUGCAAGUCGAACGGUAACAGGUCUUCGGAUGCUGACGAGUGGCGAACGGGUGAGUAAUACAUCGGAACGUGCCCGAUCGUGGGGGAUAACGAAGCGAAAGCUUUGCUAAUACCGCAUAAGAUCUAAGGAUGAAAGCAGGGGACCGCAAGGCCUUGCGCGAACGGAGCGGCCGAUGGCAGAUUAGGUAGUUGGUGGGAUAAAAGCUUACCAAGCCGACGAUCUGUAGCUGGUCUGAGAGGACGACCAGCCACACUGGGACUGAGACACGGCCCAGACUCCUACGGGAGGCAGCAGUGGGGAAUUUUGGACAAUGGGCGAAAGCCUGAUCCAGCCAUGCCGCGUGCAGGAUGAAGGCCUUCGGGUUGUAAACUGCUUUUGUACGGAACGAAAAGACUCUGGUUAAUACCUGGGGUCCAUGACGGUACCGUAAGAAUAAGCACCGGCUAACUACGUGCCAGCAGCCGCAGUAAGAC
rnacentral:rRNA from 1 species